GGGUUGUGAGGUUAAGCGACUAAGCGUACACGGUGGAUGCCCUGGCAGUCAGAGGCGAUGAAGGACGUGCUAAUCUGCGAUAAGCGUCGGUAAGGUGAUAUGAACCGUUAUAACCGGCGAUUUCCGAAUGGGGAAACCCAGUGUGWUUCGWCACACUAUCAUUAACUGAAUCCAUAGGUUAAUGAGGCGAACCGGGGGAACUGAAACAUCUAAGUACCCCGAGGAAAAGAAAUCAACCGAGAUUCCCCCAGUAGCGGCGAGCGAACGGGGAGCAGCCCAGAGCCUGAAUCAGUGUGUGUGUUAGUGGAAGCGUCUGGAAAGGCGCGCGAUACAGGGUGACAGCCCCGUACACAAAAAUGCACAURCUGUGAGCUCGAUGAGUAGGGCGGGACACGUGGUAUCCUGUCUGAAUAUGGGGGGACCAUCCUCCAAGGCUAAAUACUCCUGACUGACCGAUAGUGAACCAGUACCGUGAGGGAAAGGCGAAAAGAACCCCGGCGAGGGGAGUGAAAAAGAACCUGAAACCGUGUACGUACAAGCAGUGGGAGCACGCUUAGGCGUGUGACUGCGUACCUUUUGUAUAAUGGGUCAGCGACUUAUAUUCUGUAGCAAGGUUAACCGAAUAGGGGAGCCGAAGGGAAACCGAGUCUUAACUGGGCGUUAAGUUGCAGGGUAUAGACCCGAAACCCGGUGAUCUAGCCAUGGGCAGGUUGAAGGUUGGGUAACACUAACUGGAGGACCGAACCGACUAAUGUUGAAAAAUUAGCGGAUGACUUGUGGCUGGGGGUGAAAGGCCAAUCAAACCGGGAGAUAGCUGGUUCUCCCCGAAAGCUAUUUAGGUAGCGCCUCGUGAAUUCAUCUCCGGGGGUAGAGCACUGUUUCGGCAAGGGGGUCAUCCCGACUUACCAACCCGAUGCAAACURCGAAUACCGGAGAAUGUUAUCACGGGAGACACACGGCGGGUGCUAACGUCCGUCGUGAAGAGGGAAACAACCCAGACCGCCAGCUAAGGUCCCAAAGUCAUGGUUAAGUGGGAAACGAUGUGGGAAGGCCCAGACAGCCAGGAUGUUGGCUUAGAAGCAGCCAUCAUUUAAAGAAAGCGUAAUAGCUCACUGGUCGAGUCGGCCUGCGCGGAAGAUGUAACGGGGCUAAACCAUGCACCGAAGCUGCGGCAGCGACGCUKAUGCGUUGUUGGGUAGGGGAGCGUUCUGUAAGCCUGCGAAGGUGUGCUGUGAGGCAUGCUGGAGGUAUCAGAAGUGCGAAUGCUGACAUAAGUAACGAUAAAGCGGGUGAAAAGCCCGCUCGCCGGAAGACCAAGGGUUCCUGUCCAACGUUAAUCGGGGCAGGGUGAGUCGACCCCUAAGGCGAGGCCGAAAGGCGUAGUCGAUGGGAAACAGGUUAAUAUUCCUGUACUUGGUGUUACUGCGAAGGGGGGACGGAGAAGGCUAUGUUGGCCGGGCGACGGUUGUCCCGGUUUAAGCGUGUAGGCUGGUUUUCCAGGCAAAUCCGGAAAAUCAAGGCUGAGGCGUGAUGACGAGGCACUACGGUGCUGAAGCAACAAAUGCCCUGCUUCCAGGAAAAGCCUCUAAGCAUCAGGUAACAUCAAAUCGUACCCCAAACCGACACAGGUGGUCAGGUAGAGAAUACCAAGGCGCUUGAGAGAACUCGGGUGAAGGAACUAGGCAAAAUGGUGCCGUAACUUCGGGAGAAGGCACGCUGAUAUGUAGGUGAAGUCCCUCGCGGAUGGAGCUGAAAUCAGUCGAAGAUACCAGCUGGCUGCAACUGUUUAUUAAAAACACAGCACUGUGCAAACACGAAAGUGGACGUAUACGGUGUGACGCCUGCCCGGUGCCGGAAGGUUAAUUGAUGGGGUCAGCGCAAGCGAAGCUCUUGAUCGAAGCCCCGGUAAACGGCGGCCGUAACUAUAACGGUCCUAAGGUAGCGAAAUUCCUUGUCGGGUAAGUUCCGACCUGCACGAAUGGCGUAAUGAUGGCCAGGCUGUCUCCACCCGAGACUCAGUGAAAUUGAACUCGCUGUGAAGAUGCAGUGUACCCGCGGCAAGACGGAAAGACCCCGUGAACCUUUACUAUAGCUUGACACUGAACAUUGAGCCUUGAUGUGUAGGAUAGGUGGGAGGCUUUGAAGUGUGGACGCCAGUCUGCAUGGAGCCGACCUUGAAAUACCACCCUUUAAUGUUUGAUGUUCUAACGUKGACCCGURAUCCGGGUUGCGGACAGUGUCUGGUGGGUAGUUUGACUGGGGCGGUCUCCUCCUAAAGAGUAACGGAGGAGCACGAAGGUUGGCUAAUCCUGGUCGGACAUCAGGAGGUUAGUGCAAUGGCAUAAGCCAGCUUGACUGCGAGCGUGACGGCGCGAGCAGGUGCGAAAGCAGGUCAUAGUGAUCCGGUGGUUCUGAAUGGAAGGGCCAUCGCUCAACGGAUAAAAGGUACUCCGGGGAUAACAGGCUGAUACCGCCCAAGAGUUCAUAUCGACGGCGGUGUUUGGCACCUCGAUGUCGGCUCAUCACAUCCUGGGGCUGAAGUAGGUCCCAAGGGUAUGGCUGUUCGCCAUUUAAAGUGGUACGCGAGCUGGGUUUAGAACGUCGUGAGACAGUUCGGUCCCUAUCUGCCGUGGGCGCUGGAGAAYUGAGGGGGGCUGCUCCUAGUACGAGAGGACCGGAGUGGACGCAUCACUGGUGUUCGGGUUGUCAUGCCAAUGGCACUGCCCGGUAGCUAAAUGCGGAAGAGAUAAGUGCUGAAAGCAUCUAAGCACGAAACUUGCCCCGAGAUGAGUUCUCCCUGAC
rnacentral:rRNA from 1 species